UCUGUUGGCUGAUGGAGCUGAGGCUCGGGUCCCGCCGGACUGGAUACAUCUGUCUCUAUUCAAAGCUGCUGCCUGAGGCUGGGCUUCCAGUCAGCUGGAUGGCGGUGCUGACUCCCUGUGGAGCACUGGCAGGUCUUGGUGCACCCUCAAUAGACGCCCUGACUCCAAAAGGCAUCUGCACGUCUGUGUUCACCUCGGCAUUGUUCAAAGCAGCCAGCACGUGGAGUCCACCUAUGUGUUCCUGAGGGAUGGUGGCUAAAGAAGACAAGGUAUAUACACCGUGGAACACUGUUCAGUCGUAAAAAGGAGAUUCUGCCGUUUUUGAUGACACGUAUGGGCCUUGAGAUCAUUAUGAGAUUCACAUGUGUGGUAAAUUACAAGAAGAAAAUCCCAUCGGAAAACUGUAUGAAGACUGUUCUCAAGUAUUUCAGCCCAGCUUAGCAGAAGGGAAGGGAGAAGGCCCAGGAGGUACCUUCCAUCGACUGUACGCAGUGUUAACAAUCCUAAGAAAUCCUGGCUUGAUGACAAUAGCAGAUCUGAUUCAUGAAAAAUAUGAAGAAAACCUUGUGAGUGAAAAUUGGAAUCUACUUUGUGCACAUUUCCUCUUGAUUCAUGUUUUUGGAACAGAGAAUCAGGAGCCAUAUUUCCUGGGUUCAAACCUGAAAUCCACCACUUCCUUGCUGUGUGACUAGAGAGGGAAGAGAACAGGAGCGAGUAGAGGAGGAGUGAGAAAGGAAGUACAGGGGAGAGGAUGCCUCACUGAAGCUCCCCAUGGCUCACAGCCACCCAGGUGCACAGCAGGUGAGGGCAGUUGUCCAGAGCAAGAGGGGACAUGGAGCAGCCCUGACCUGAGGGACAGCAAGAAAUCUGCAGGGAAGCAGAGGGCUGCAGUCUGGGGAUGGGCUGUCUGUGAAACACCUGCGCAGGAAAUGGACAGAAGCCUGUUCCUCCCAGACAUGCCUAAACUCGGACCAUCACAGCCUCCUGACCCUCUGCUCCUACCUGAGUAACACAAAGGCUUUUGAUCAGGUUACUAGUUCAGGAGGAGUGUUCUGAUGUCGCUGAACCAUAGUCACCUGGGUCCCAGAAUGGCCUCCUGGAAGGUGACCCUCCUCCCAAAUCUGAACAUUCACCCUGAGGUCUUGACAUUAAUUUUCCAGUACAUACCAUGUCAAGCAGAGAAAACAUCAGUUUAGCUGGACUUUCCCAAUGACCAUGGACAUCUACAAAGACUGGCUCCAUCUGCAGUGAACUGCUGACUUAUCCCAUUACCAUCCCUCGGCCAGUUUCUGAGAGCAAAGACAAAAAAGAGAAGCCAGGUUUAAAAAUCAGGAUCAUGGCUCUUCCACAUCGUGCUGGAGGCAGGAACAAGAGUCCAACAACAGGUGCAUGUGUUUAUCUUAAUUUAAUUUGGAAAAGGUGUCAGUUGUUUGCAUAGGGGACACCUCCCUGUUCUAAGGCUGUAAAGCUUUAGGGAGGGAGCAGUGCCCCUUUGGAUCUUCCCACUCCCUCUGUUUCCCCAGCAGAGAAAACCGCCACUGCUGUUUCCUAAAUAUCCUUGCAGAUCAUCUACGUGACCUCAGGAGUGUGUGUGCACAGGGGCUUUUGCUCACACACGUCCAAGCCUACCCGAAACGCAGCCCUGUAUGACGCUUUUUCACUUUAAAUCUUGUACGUCCUUAGAUAUCGGUACACUAUAAACUGCCUUCUUUUUCUAAUUGGCUUAUAUUCUGUUAUACAGAUAUGCCAAACUUUACUUAAUUUCUCCUCUGCCAAUGGCCUCUGACCUCACUGCCAGUACUCACUCUUGGAAACAGGGCUGGAGCGCACUCGUCCCUGUUUGGGUAGGACAGUGUACUAUAACAGGUGUGUUACUUAGAGAGGAACGGCUCCAUGAAGGGAAUUUUUUAGCUUUCUUGAGAUGCAGUUGACAUACAACACUGUGUAAAUUUAAGCUGCACAACCUAUUGAUUUGAUACCUUUACAUAUUGCAAAAUAAUCACUGCCAUCCCAAGUGUAUGAAGCACCUUGUCUUUGCUUAAAGCCUGAGGCAGCUGGGCUCCAGCACCUGCUGAGGGCCCCGCCCCAGGCCUCCAUUUCCCUGGUGAUGAGAAGAGGGAAGAGGGACUGAGGAGGCCAGGGUCACAGAGCUUCUCAGCUAAGGAUGAUCAAGGGCCAGAGGCCAAAGGGACCCCAGGGCACAAAGCGCUGUGCCCAGCCCAAGAAGCCCCGGCCGCUUCCAAAGUCUCACUGUCCUGUCUCAACCAGCCAUUGUCCCUAAAUCUGCAAAAUGGGGAUCAAGUCACUUAGCUCCGUGUUACUUAUUCAGAUAUUCAGUUGCAUAGAAUGUCUCUCUCUGGGACAGAAUAAAGGAAGCUAGGGCCACAUCAAUUCAGAGUUGCUGGGGUUGAACAGCAGCAGUUAGAGGCAGCCUGGUUUGAACAUCUGUGUCCGCUGUGCUCAGGGACUCCUUUCUUUAACUGAGGGGAGGAAAACACCCUCACCCUGGAGAUGGGAGAACCCUGUGGGGCAGGGGGUGGGGGUGGCCACUGUUAAGGACAGGAGCUUUAGUGGGAGGAAGAAGCCCUGGAGCCUGGUGGACCUGUAGCCCUUAGGGAGCAACCUGGGGCAUGCGGGGCCUGAACAAAGUCUCCUGAGCAGCGCUGCCCUCUUACCUCCGACGUUUCCAUAAUGAGAAGCCUCCCAGUGGACCUCUCGUCCCCCUCUGUGGAGCCUAAAGUAGACAAAGCUGCAGGGCACCAUCCCUCGGUUGGUUACUUGCAGAGGCCUGAAUUCAGCCAAAGGCUUUGAUGAAAUGCAGCAGGGGGCGCUCUUAGCCAAACCCCGGCUGCCCUGAGCAGCUGCAUCCCUUCCCACCCAGACCUCAGCCUCCGUCCACCCCAGCCCAGAGCCCAGCAAUGUCCAUGGCAACGUCAUGUCAGUGUAGCUGUGAUGGGGGCACUUUCUAAGUCCGUUCAGUUUUAAUUAGUCAGCUGAGUUCCUUAUCAGCAACGGAAGCACCUCGUGUGAACUCGAGGGAAAUAGAGGAGGAUUUGGGGCAGGUGUGGGAGGCGCCCAGGGUUCUAAGCAGACUAGAGCCCGGGGCCUGAGGAUAGAAGGGUUGGAGGGGCCAGCGGCUGCUCUCCUGGGGGUGUUGACAGGGACCUCUGCAAACUCAGCAGAGUUACCCGGCCUGUGUCAGGCCCCUCAGGGUUCCAGGGAGGGGGGUCCUAGCUCAGGGUCUCAGGGGAGAGGGUUGUGGCUGACACCCCACCCAGUUGACCCUCAUGGGGAGAGUGCUCCCAGGGGUCGCUGGGCUCUGCUUCAGGAGGAGAGGGGACCCCACUGAGUUUCAGAGGCAGUGAUGUCCAGUGAGGCAGGCGUUGCUACUCCAGGCUACUUCGCUGUGGUCAAAGCCCUACCUUCCCAUGAAAGUGAUUCACCCACAGCAGAGUCAGUGGGAGUUUCUUCAGUGUUGUCAAGAGCUGUGGCUUUGAACAAAUGAACAGCUGUGUCACUAUGUUGCAUGCUCCCCGGGCAGAUGAGAGUGUGGAAAACUCAGUCCUUCCAGAAAAGGGUUCAGAGCUGUGGGUGUGAAGCCACAGCACUGGUCCAGAUUCCGCGGCUACAUGAGGACCUUUUCUGAGCAGGAUGCUCUUCCUCACCCCCGCCCCCCAGACAGAGGAGACGGGUUUUCCAGACCAAGGAUUGAGUCCCUUCCAGACCAAGGAUUGAGUCCCAAUCAGUCAUCAAGAUGUGUAGGCAGAGAGAUGAGGUAAGAGUCAAACUCACACGAUUUCAGUGUGUUAGACAAAGACCCCAGGGCAGUCCCAGAGCUCCCAAGUUCCACCCUGAUGUGCUAAAUGUGCUCCACCAUCCUUGCUUGAGGAUGUGUCACAUAGGAGCAAUUUGGGGGAUGGUGCAACUGGUAAUACGUAGUAUUUAUUUCUCCUGGAAUUCUUACCUUGUGGUAAUUGUCUACCCAAUGAAACAAAAAUAUGUAUAGAAUUAGAAUGACAGAAAAAAAGAUUUACUUUUGCUUUUGAAGAAAAAUUUAAUUGCAGUAAAAAGGAACGUUGAUGAAUUUAAUCAUGAUUUUUAGUGAAAAAGAAAAACGUGAAAAGAAGGAAAAACCGGCCUCUCAUGUCAGCAUUGCCUAGCUGUGCACAUUUGGAUGCUCUAAGCCAUGUCUCUGAAUGUCUGCUUCAUCUUCUCUAAAACAGAAGUGGUGAGAUCCACUUUGCGAGGCUGCUGAAUGCACGCACGUCGUCCGGAGCUGUGUCUGCCACAGCAGAUACUAAUCUUCAGCAUUUAAAGGCAUCUCUGAUCCUCGGAGACCAGACUCCAGAGUGGACUCCAAACCUGGGUUGCUGGG
ensembl:lncRNA